rnacentral:lncRNA from 1 species
UUUCAAUUUCUGGAAAUUCCGAAAAUGAUUAAAAAUAAAAUGUCUGAUAUUUACAGAUGUUGAAGUACAGAAUAAGAGUCUUAGACUCCGUAAUUACCCGAUAAAACUGUCGGUACACCGACAAAUGUCAGACCUUAUAAAAGAAAGAAAAGGCUACUGUAAGAGCAUGAAUGAGAUAUUUGAAAAAUGUAUAAAAAUAUUUCAAGUAUAGAAUAGGAACUAAAAGUAUGAUCACUGUGAUUAUGUGAUUAGACUAUGUGCUGACUGUAAUAGACAG